ACGCGCAGAACCUUACCAACCCUUGACAUCCUUGGACCGUCGCAGAGAUGCGUCUUUCUCGUAAGAGACCAAGUGACAGGUGCUGCAUGGCUGUCGUCAGCUCGUGUCGUGAGAUGUUCGGUUAAGUCCGGCAGCGAGCGCAACCCACACCCUUAGUUGCCAUCAUUCAGUUGGGCACUCUAGGGGAACUGCCCGUGAUAAGCGGGAGGAAGGUGUGGAUGACGUCAAGUCCUCAUGGCCCUUACGGGUUGGGCUACACACGUGCUACAAUGGUAGUGACAAUGGGUUAAUCCCAAAAAGCUAUCUCAGUUCGGAUUGGGGUCUGCAACUCGACCCCAUGAAGUCGGAAUCGCUAGUAAUCGCGUAACAGCAUGACGCGGUGAAUACGUUCCCGGGCCUUGUACACACCGCCCGUCACACCAUGGGAGUUGGGUCUACCCGAAGGCGGUGCGCCAACCUU
rnacentral:rRNA from 1 species